UUAUAAAAAGAUAAGAUAAAUAAAAUUAUCAUUAAAUAUAAAAUUAUCAGAUGUUAUUAUUUUUGAAAGGUAAUUAUUAGAUUUUAUGAAAAUACUUCAGUACAUUACUUGACAAUUGAGAGUUAUGUUACAGUGGAAGCUUUCCAAAAUUAAAAAGCUUGCAUAGGAUUUGACUGAGUGGUUGAUACUAAUUAAACAGCCAGGUUAUUCAAAUUUUGUACCUCGAUAUAGGAUUGCCUUCUCUCCUACCUUUGUCAGUCAAGCCCAAAUUAUUUUUCAUGUCCUUUGCUUGGCAAAUGUCCGCAACUUGUUGAUGACACCAUAUUAUUCAACAACUUUCUUAGUUGUCAUGAUUUGAGUGAAAAACCAAGCCAAUCUUUAUUGUCGAAGCAUGGUAACUAGAAACUUCUACCUAGUGUUCUCUGUGCACCUCAAAGCCUUUUUUGCAUCUCACUGCUGCACUUACUCCUUGUUACUCUAAAUAUUUGAGAUUAUCGGUUUCAUGCUCCAGCAUCUGAAUGUACCUCGACACCUUAUCCUAAUUUAGAUGAUGUGACGAUUGGGCUCCAGAUGGGCUGACCUGGGCCAAAAUCGGCAGCCCAUCUGGAAGCCACUAUCUAUUACUUCGGGGUUAGAAAGGGAGGUACGCCUGCCGGGUGUUACAACCGCCUAAAAGCCCUCUAAACGUCGCCAUUCUAGCCCCUAUGCCUUCCAUCCUCCCUGUACACUCCCUUCCAAAUUCGGAAGCUGCCGCAUCUUGGCCCCCCGUCGGUGUCGCCGGAGAAGGUGCACGCGAACUCCUCCCCGGAACUAGGUGCACUUGAUCUGUUUGUUUGAAGUGAGAUUUAAGCGAGGAAAGGUGAGUAAUUUAAUACCUCAAAGUGUAUUUUUCAAAGUAUUUGAUAAAAUAAUUAUUAGUGAUUGAAUUUUGAGAUAUAUUUUGUACCUAGCAAAAUGGGUCAUGCUUGUUAAAUAUCAUUUGAAAUUUAUGUUAUAUGUUAUGAAA